rnacentral:rRNA from 1 species
AAAACGACUCUCGGCAACGGAUAUCUCGGCUCUCGCAUCGAUGAAGAACGNAGCGAAAUGCGAUACUUGGUGUGAAUUGCAGAAUCCCGUGAACCAUCNAGUCUUUGAACGCAAGUUGNGCCCGAAGCCNUCAGGCCGAGGGCANGCCUGCCUGGGCGUCACGC